CUUCAAGGAAAUUAUUCCAACCGAAGGUUUGGGAGUACUAUGAUUCACCUUCGAGCUUUACCUUUAAUUUCAGCUAUAUAGAAGACGGCAACCAAACAUAACUUUCUUGGAUGUUUCAUCGUGUUUCUCAGUUUCCAAAAUGAUCCACUGAUGCCAACAAGAGAGAUAUUCCAGAAAACAACUGAAGGAACUACGAAAAAGAAAGCCGCCUACGAUCAGUUGGGUGUUGCCCUUCACUUCGUAUCCACUACUUCAUCUAACUUCGUUUUUCCAAAAGAAAUGACCAAGUUCGCGGUUACUGCUUCCAUUAUCAACAAAAUAGGGAUAUAGCUUUAACACUCAGUAUGAAUUUAACGUUGAAAGUGAAACUUUACUGACUUAAAUUGCCACUCAUUCAUAGUUUCCACGCGAUCUUAAACAAUGGCCUUCGAAAACCAUCUUUGAGAUCGAGAUCUCAAAUACACAAUCGGCUCAGGGACUUGUACAAGCAAAAGAUGUGACCUGAUUACCCAAUUUGUUAAAGGAGUAGGUGGAGAGUGUUGGUUGAAAUGGAUUAUCGCCGGUUGCUUUUCUAGGUUGCAAAACGUGGAGGAAAGACAAGUCAUGAAAGGUUAGAGAAAAGAACUUGGGCCACAUUGGUUAGAGAAGAACGUAUUCUCUCUCAUACUGAUAGAAACUAUGAUGUUUCACAACAAACAAAUUAAACGACAUUGACUAAAAAAGGAACGUGUCAUGUGCAACACUUUAAUUUAUUGCAAGAGGCGUCUUCAUUUUCUCGCCGCCAUGUUGCCGUCAGAAAGAUUAUUCGAGAAGCCACUCAUAGGCUGUUCGAAUUCUUGUUCCCAGUCUCAGAAAUGUCCCACUUCUUUCGCUUCGCCUGGCGUUCGCGCCUUUCAUUUCUUAUUUCGUCCUUGCCCGAUUGCCGGCUGAGGAUGGAGCAGAGAGCACAACGCCGAUAAUUCAUUUCUAAGGUUCUUGGUCAUAUUUUCAAUGGCAUCUUCGCCAUCAUCGGUUAGUGUCUCAGCGAUUCCUGAGAUCCUUUCAAACGUGCAGAACCAGAAUUGAAGAUGAUAAAAAGAUGAAGAUAGAAGCUUAGCAUAGACUAUUAGAAUUAGAGAAUUGAUACUAGGCGAGUGGG